GUGGGCCUACGGGGCGCAGCAGUGAGGAAUAUUGGUCAAUGGGAGAGAUCCUGAACCAGCCAAGCCGCGUGAGGGAAGACGGCCCUAUGGGUUGUAAACCUCUUUUGUCGGAGAACAAAACCCGGGACGUGUCCCGGACUGCGUGUAUCCGAAGAAAAAGCAUCGGCUAACUCCGUGCCAGCAGCCGCGGUAAUACGGAGGAUGCGAGCGUUAUCCGGAUUUAUUGGGUUUAAAGGGUGCGUAGGCGGUCCGUUACGUCAGCGGUAAAAUUGCGGGGCUCACCCCCGUCGUG
rnacentral:rRNA from 1 species